GUAGGGAAUAUUGGGCAAUGGAGGCAACUCUGACCCAGCCAUGCCGCGUGCAGGAUGACGGCCCUCUGGGUUGUAAACUGCUUUUAUACGGGAAGAAAAAAUACUACGUGUAGUAUACUGACGGUACCGUAAGAAUAAGGAUCGGCUAACUCCGUGCCAGCAGCCGCGGUAAUACGGAGGAUCCAAGCGUUGUCCGGAUUUAUUGGGUUUAAAGGGUUCGUAGGCGGAUCUUUAAGUCAGUGGUGAAAGCCUGCAGCUUAACUGUAGAAUUGCCAUUGAAACUGAAGAUCUUGAAUGUGGGUAAAGUAGGCGGAAUGUAUCAUGUAGCGGUGAAAUGCUUAGAUAUGAUACAGAACACCGAUAGCGAAGGCAGCUUGCUGAAACAUUAUUGACGCUGAGGCACGAAAGCGUGGGGAGCGAACAGGAUUAGAUACCCGGGUAGUCC
rnacentral:rRNA from 1 species